rnacentral:rRNA from 1 species
ACCUACGGGGCGCAGCAGUGAGGAAUUUUGGACAAUGGGGGCAACCCUGAUCCAGCAACGCCGCGUGAAUGAAGAAGGCCUUAGGGUUGUAAAGUUCUUUUGUCAGGGAAGAAAGUUUCUGUGCUAAUAUCAUAGAACGAUGACGGUACCUGAAGAAUAAGCACCGGCUAACUACGUGCCAGCAGCCGCGGUAAUACGUAGGGUGCAAGCGUUAAUCGGAAUUACUGGGCGUAAAGCGUGCGCAGGCGGAUAUGUAAGUUAGAAGUGAAAUCCCCGGGCUCAACCUGGGAACUGCUUUUAAGACUGCGUAUCUAGAGUUUGUCAGAGGGGAGUGGAAUUCCAAGUGUAGCAGUGAAAUGCGUAGAGAUUUGGAGGAACACCGAUGGCGAAGGCAGCCCCCUGGGAUAAAACUGACGCUCAUGCACGAAAGCGUGGGUAGCAAACAGGAUUAGAUACCCUAGUAGUC